CCUACGGGAGGCAGCAGUGAGGAAUAUUGGUCAAUGGGCGCAAGCCUGAACCAGCCAAGUCGCGUGAGGGAUGACGGUCCUAUGGAUUGUAAACCUCUUUUGUCGGGGAGCAAGGCCCGCCACGUGUGGCGGGAAGUAGAGUACCCGAAGAAAAAGCAUCGGCUAACUCCGUGCCAGCCGCCGCGGUAAUACGGAGGAUGCAAGCGUUAUCCGGAUUUAUUGGGUUUAAAGGGUGCGUAGGCGGUCGGAUAAGUUAGAGGUGAAAUCCCGAGGCUCAACUUCGGAAUUGCCUCUGAUACUGUUCGGCUAGAGAGUAGUUGCGGUAGGCGGAAUGUAUGGUGUAGCGGUGAAAUGCUUAGAGAUCAUACAGAACACCGAUUGCGAAGGCAGCUUACCAAGCUACUUCUGACGUUGAGGCACGAAAGCGUGGGGAGCAAACAGGAUUAGAUACCCUUGUAGUC
rnacentral:rRNA from 1 species